GAUGAACGCUGGCUACAGGCUUAACACAUGCAAGUCGAGGGGAAACGACGGGGAAGCUUGCUUCCCCGGGCGUCGACCGGCGCACGGGUGAGUAACGCGUAUCCAACCUGCCUCUGACUGAGGGAUAACCCGUCGAAAGUCGGCCUAAUACCUCAUGGCAUCGUCUGCGGGCAUCCAACGACGAUUAAAGAUUUCAUCGGUCAGAGAUGGGGAUGCGUCUGAUUAGCUUGUUGGCGGGGUAACGGCCCACCAAGGCGACGAUCAGUAGGGGUUCUGAGAGGAAGGUCCCCCACAUUGGAACUGAGACACGGUCCAAAAUCCUACCGGAGGCAGCAGUGAGGAAUAUUGGUCAAUGGGCGAGAGCCUGAACCAGCCAAGUAGCGUGCAGGAUGACGGCCCUAUGGGUUGUAAACUGCUUUUAUGCGGGGAUAAAGUGAGGGACGUGUCCUUCAUUGCAGGUACCGCAUGAAUAAGGACCGGCUAAUUCCGUG
rnacentral:rRNA from 1 species